rnacentral:tRNA from 1 species
UGGGGAUAUAGCUCAGUGGUAGAGCGCUGCUUUUGCACGGCAGAUGUCAGGAGUUCGACUCUCCUUAUCUCCAU